GAUGAACGCUGGCGGCGUGCUUAACACAUGCAAGUCGAGCGAAGCGGUUUUAAGGAAGUUUUCGGAUGGAAUUGAGAUUGACUGAGCGGCGGACGGGUGAGUAACGCGUGGGUAACCUGCCUCAUACAGGGGGAUAACAGUUAGAAAUGGCUGCUAAUACCGCAUAAGCGCACAGCACCGCAUGGUGCAGUGUGAAAAACUCCGGUGGUAUGAGAUGGACCCGCGUCUGAUUAGGUAGUUGGUGGGGUAACGGCCGACCAAGCCGACGAUCAGUAGCCGACCUGAGA
rnacentral:rRNA from 1 species